rnacentral:rRNA from 1 species
GAACCUUACCUACUCUUGACAUCCACGGAACUUUUCAGAGAUGAAUUGGUGCCUUCGGGAACCGUGAGACAGGUGCUGCAUGGCUGUCGUCAGCUCGUGUUGUGAAAUGUUGGGUUAAGUCCCGCAACGAGCGCAACCCUUAUCCUUUGUUGCCAGCGGUUAGGCCGGGAACUCAAAGGAGACUGCCAGUGAUAAACUGGAGGAAGGUGGGGAUGACGUCAAGUCAUCAUGGCCCUUACGAGUAGGGCUACACACGUGCUACAAUGGCAUAUACAAAGAGAAGCGACCUCGCGAGAGCAAGCGGACCUCAUAAAGUAUGUCGUAGUCCGGAUUGGAGUCUGCAACUCGACUCCAUGAAGUCGGAAUCGCU